CAGCCGCCGCCUUGAUAUGCCCUCUCCCCUCAAGCACCCUCAAGGGUUACCUGCUGAGAGAUGGCAAAGCCGAUGACAACCUCGUCCUCCAGGACGUCCCAGCUGACCACUGCCGAGUUGGCCUUGAGGAAGACCCCAGAGAACAAGAGACCCCGGUGAAGCUGGCGGCCACCAUCCAGGAUGCCACUGUAGAGAGCCUUUCGGGGCCACUUGCUUAGCUUCUAGACACAUGGCGGGAAUCUGACCUUAACAGGACAAAAGUAAGAAGCCCAGGGCAGGAAUCUGGCUUUGGGCUUGGCCUCAGGAAAUGGGCCUUGGUUAAGAACAUUUACAUUUGAGUUAAUGCAAAGCUCAGAGCAGGAUCUGGAAGCCUGUGUGACAGGCCUUUUGUCUGGGUCAUCCUGACCAGCCCCCAGAAAGGUGUUUACAGGAUUCUGAUUAUCACCUUGCUCUUCCUGAUCCUAUCAUUCUGCAUGUAAUUAAAGUGGGAUAAAAGCAGAUUGGAAAAUAAAACAUCUGCUUCGGCCUCAGCA
rnacentral:lncRNA from 1 species